AUUAUCUUCAUCAUCCUCCAGUUAGCUUCUGUAGCAGUAGAAUGUUGCUGGCCAUGUUAGCUUGUGUAAUGGCCAUGCUUUGCAAAGAACAAGGUUUAACGGUCAUCGGGCUAUGCAGUGCCUAUGAUAUAAUUGUUUCAUGCCAACUCACACCACGCAAUAUAUUGAGGGCGCUAUUUACACAUCAUGACUGUAGCAAUAUAAAAGACAAAUUGUCUUCUAAAUCACCUUGGAUACAGUCACUAGUAAAGCGCCAUCUGAUUCUACUUAUCUCAGGUAUCGUUAUGGUAACAGGCCGGUAUUUUAUUAUGGGAUCUCUGCCGACCUUUCAGCCAGUAGACAAUCCGGCAUCAUUUGCUGAGAGUCUUAUAGUUCGAAUAACAAAUUAUAACUACAUCUACUCAAUUAAUGGUUGGUUGCUUAUGCAGCCUAGCUGGUUGUGUUUUGACUGGGCAAUGGGCUGUAUAAGCCUCAUACAGACUGCAUCAGAUCCUCGUCUCCUGGCUGUCUUGGUGUUCUGGUUCAGUCUAGGAAUGAUUUUAUACAAAGUGAUAGUCAGUCCUCCAAGCCAGAAUCAAAGAGUAUUAGCAAUAGGUUUAGCUGCACUCAUCAUCCCAUUCCUGCCAGCGAGCAAUAUUUUCUUCCGGGUCGGAUUUGUGAUAGCUGAGCGUGUCUUGUAUCUGCCCAGCCUAGGUUUUGCCAUCAUUGUAACAUUAGGGUUUAACUGUAUCUGUACAGCAAAGCCAAAACUUCAAACGGUUGUAUUUAUUGGAAUUUCUUGUCUGCUUUGCUCCCACAUUCUGCGGUGUGUCCAACGCAACCGUGACUGGCUGACAGAAGAUUCUCUGUACUACUCUGGCUUAACUGUUUGUCCAAACAACGCCAAGGUCCAUUAUAACAUUGCGAAAAGUGCUGCAGAUAAAGGCAACAUUGAUGAGGCUAUUCAUAGGUAUCGCACUGCUAUUCAGCUUAGUCCUGGGUAUGGACAUGCUAUGAAUAACCUGGCAAAUAUUUUGAAAGACAGGGGGGAGAACACUGAGGCAGAAAAGCUGCUCAAGAACGCUGUAGCAAUACGGCCGGAGUUUGCAGCAGCCUGGAUGAAUCUUGGCAUUCUACAGGCGGCCAUGAAGAAAUAUGACCUAGCCGAGACUAGCUACCUGACAGCGUUGAUGCACAGAAGAAAAUACCCAGAUUGUUACUUCAAUUUGGGAAAUCUGUUUCUCGACCUGCAUCGUCACGAUGAUGCACUGCAAGCAUGGUUAAAUGCAUCAUCUCUGCAGCAAGAUCAUGCCCAGGCUUGGAGCAAUACUAUACUACUGCUUGACAACCUAGUUCCUUGCGAAACGUCAUUUGGAUAAAGCCACAGCUGCUUGGCGGGAAGCCAUACAACUGGAAGUUGAUCACGUCGGAGCCUGGCGCAAUAUUGUGCUCCUUAUGGAAGAGAUUGGCCAGUUUGACACUGCAGAGUCUGUGGCAGAGGAGGCUUUGAAGCACCUCCCUCAAGAGCCUUCAAUCUAUUUUGCACUGGCCAAUGUUUAUGGGAAGUCAGCUAAGUAUGAG
rnacentral:misc_RNA from 1 species